UUAAAGUGUUUUAAUGGUUUGAAAACAUGCUGAACACACUGUAAACAUGGCUUAUAGAAAGCUACAUUCUUGGUGGUUUCUCCUUUUGUUUCCAUGACACAUCAUCAUUUAUACUGUAAUGCUGAUUUUAAACAAUAUGUUUUCCGUUAUCUAUGGUUCAUGUAAUAUUCACAGUAAGAAUAGUUGUAAAUAUCAUGUGUAAAGCAGAGGUGAUUUCCAGGCAUGUUUUCACUCUGCAGAUAUAAUAACAGUCAACAGACUCUUCUAUUGGCUCCAGUCAGACCAACAUUGAUGCUUCAUAUGUUUGAUUCUAUGCAAACUCAGUGAGCUUCCUUGUUACUCAGCUAUAAAAACUUCCCAUCAGGCUGUCAGUGGAGUUCACAGCACGUCAGUUUCAACAUCAACCAUGUUUUCUGUAGCUCUGCUGCUGCUGUUGGCAGCUGGAUGUGUGAAGUGUGAACAGUUGACACAGCCAGCCUCUGUGACUGUGCAGCCAGGUCAACGUCUGACCAUCACCUGUCAGGUCUCUUAUUCUGUCAGCAGCUAUCGCACUCACUGGAUCAGACAGACUACAGGGAAAGGACUGGAGUGGAUUGGAAGUGCACGUGUGGGAUACAGCUCAUACUACAAAGAUUCCCUCAAGAACAAGUUCAGUAUCAGCUCAGACUCUUCCAGCAACACAGUGACUCUAAAUGGACAGAAUGUGCAGUCUGAAGACACUGCUGUGUAUUACUGUGCCAGAGAGCCACAAUAACACAAACCAUCAGUAGACCUGAAC